AUGCACGAGCUUGAUCCUCGCUCGCUUGCGCCUUCAUCUUCGACCUUGCGCCCCUGCCGAAGCCCACGCCAAGUCCCUCGCAGAGCCGCCACCCGGAUCAGGCGUCCACGUCGUUCCUGUCGCCAAGUUCAUCGCUCGCAACAGCGCAGCCGCCCCGUUCCCUUUCUUCACAGGAGUUCUUCGCCGCAAGACCUUCCUCGAGGAGCGCCGCCGCCAUGCUGCCCAGUUCCUCUGGCGUCAAGCCCGCUGCCAGUUUUCACUGCCGCCGUCGCUUCCUGUCGAGCAGAGGGCGCGCCUCCUCGGCAUCGAGCCCCGCCGCUCCAACGCCCACUACGACGACUGGAUCGCUACCGCCCCAGGCUGCCGUACUUGUAG
rnacentral:rRNA from 1 species